CGGCGGCGACGGCGGCUGCCAAAGCUGGGCGUUCUGGAUAUCGUUUUGAACAAUACCGUCCGCGUGUGUGUGUGUGCAAGUUGAGUUUGCUAUCAACCACUCGAAUAGGUCGUUUCACGAAUAUUUCGUCGGAAAACGUUGUCGGUGAACAAACAGUGGAAAAAUGCCCAGAAAAAUCGGUUAACCCACAGGGGAAGACGGUCGAACGGCGGCGAACGGAUGACGGCGGCCAUUAGUCCACAGCGCGACGACGAUGGCCACCGCUUGCGACGCGCCACCUGCCGGUGACAAUAAACCACGGACGCGGUCGACCGCAGUGCUGCCAUUUGGUCGACGCCAAAUUAUGCGCACACCCGAUCGCUGUGUAACACCAAUCGGUACAAAUCAUAAUAUUGUCCCGUUUUCUUUUAAGUCAUUUUAUUGUGUAAAAAAACCUCAAAAAUACAUAAAAUAAUGGAUGGUCCGUAAAGUGAUAACAACAAGAUGGUGACAGCCUUAUACAGUACCAACUUCACGGAUCGAUAUUGACAACUUGCCGAAGCCACUGUACUUGUAUUGCACUGAACAAAAUAACAGUUAACACCACUAAGACAAAAACUACGAUUCAAAUCGAAUAUUUCAUCGAAAAUUUGAUACAAUGCGACAUGUGUGUUUGGUGAAAACUUAUCAUAAAAGUUACAUUUAUACAAUUAUUAUAAUACCUAAUUAAACAAUCAAUAUUUUAUCAAAGGAUCCAAAGGUGUCACAAGAAUAGAUGUCCAGUUUCUUUCAAAAACCAAAGUGAUAUAUAUCACUAAAUCAUAAUAAACUUUUACUCAUUCACAAAUCUAAAACAAAAAUCAGUGCAAACUAAUCACAAAAAAAAAAAUGGCUGGAUUAUAAAAAAACCAAUCACAGUCUGAACAGUCAAAGUCAGUAUGACCUUUGAAUUUAAGAAAAAUAUCCUGAAAAUAUUGACUGGUCGACACCCAGUUUUGAAUAAAUAGUUUUAAAUUUAUUAUUGUUUUGAAAAGCUACCCGUAAGUUGGUUAUGGUUAUAUUGUUGUUGGUUUGGUUAAGUUAUAAUUUAUAUCAGCUUGUAACUAAAACACAGAUUCGUCGAUUGAAAAUUACAAACCAAUCAUUAUAUUAUUAGAACAUAUAUGAACAAAUAAUAAUUUCACUUGUAUACCCAAAUUGUUUAUUCAAUAUGAGAGAUUGGUCAGAAUACAUAAGCAGUACGAACAAGUAGAUUAAAAUAAAAAAGACUUUCCCAGACAAGUUGUUGGACAAUAAAACAUUUUUACAAUAUGAUUAUUAUUAUUAUUAAUGAAU